CGGCAGAUGGCUGGGGGCUG
rnacentral:misc_RNA from 2 species